rnacentral:rRNA from 1 species
UACGUAGGGGGCGAGCGUUGUCCGGAUUUAUUGGGCGUAAAGAGCUCGUAGGCGGCUCAGCAAGUCGGGUGUGAAACCUCCAGGCUCAACCUGGAGACGCCACCUGAUACUGCUGUGGCUAGAGUCCGGUAGGGGAACACGGAAUUCCCGGUGUAGCGGUGAAAUGCUUAGAUAUCGGGAGGAACACCAGUGGCGAAGGCGGUGUUCUGGGCCGGAACUGACGCUGAGGAGCGAAAGCGUGGGUAGCAAACAGG